AUUAGACAAAUUCUCUAUUUUUAUGGUUUAGAACAACUUUGUAGAUUGAAGGACAUGCUGUGUGCUAUUGGUUCUUGUAGUUUUAUUUCAACUUAGUAUCUUGCUGAAUGGUGGGAAACCAAAAUUCAGGCAUUUCUUGAUCUGGGAGAAUUAUUGAUUUCAUCUGAUGCUGGAGCAGCUUAGGACUGCCUAAAACCCCAUCAACUUGUGAUGAUUGAUUCAAGUGGAGGAAAAUGAUAAGGAAGCGUGCAUGACCUGUGUGGGUGUAUUGCAGAUACUGAGGAAGUUGACAAUGCAUCCUCACCUUUUGUUCACAGAGAUGCUAAGAGAGCUGAAAUGCUACAUUGGAGAACGAUGGAUUAAUGUGGUAUUGCUUCGAGUUGUGUAUAGAUAUAUAUAAAACACUUUGUUUCAAACAAUGUAGUACUUGUCGUUGAUGCUUAAUU